UGGGUUACCUGAGUGAGUGCUAAAUCACAGUGUCCUAGAAACCAUCAGUGGGUGUUCUUCAAAGCACCAGGCCUACCACAGAAGCAGCAUUAAGCAAUCAAACCCAUUGUCUAACACAGAGCGGGUCACUCUGUAUAUGUGGAAAGGCGAUCUAAACCUGACUGUGGAAUGACCAAGGCAAGAGACUGGCUCCCAACCAGGAAAAUGAUGUAGUGGGAAAGAAGUGCUCUUGGCAACCCUGAUUUCUAGUCCCCUGGCAAAGCUGGCAAUGAGGUUAACCGACAGAGGAGACUGAAAGGUUAUCAAAAAGGAAGAGCUGAUCAUUUUGGAGUCUCUAUCCAUUUUGUCUCUAGCUCAAGAGGAAUGAGAAUUACCCAACAUGUAGGGGCCUUCCUGAGCCCAAGUGGUCUCCAAGAGAAAGCCAGACACAAGUCAACAGCAUUCCAGCUUACACACCUUCUGUUAACGAAGGGAAAGGAGCGAUGAAACACUGCCAGGAAGUGAGUCUGAAAAGGAAAGUGAUUUUAAUGGGAUCAAUCAGUAUGGGCUCUUCUGGCUUAUUUUUGUCCACCUAAUCCUGCUUUGGAUGGUUAAAGGUGACCAUCCCAAUCCCACCUGCUCACAGAAAGAGGGACUCCAGGUGAAUCCAAAGGGACUGUACUGAUUUGAGAAUGUAAAAAUGCAGGGGGAAAUGAAGGCGAAACGACAAACUGUUGAGGUCACAGCUGAAAUUAAAGGUGAAGGGCGAAUAAAAAUGCCUUCCUCUUCCUUCUCUGUCUAAAGGAAGUUUUCACAAGAGGAAAUUUCUGAGAAAACUGUGAUUAUUAAUACAGUUGGCCUUUGUUAACUGUAUUGGUUUUUAUUUUCAUUAUCACAAGAGGGGUCUAGUCGGCAAAAGAUAACACCUCAGAAGGAGUAGUAGGGUUUCUUUGCCCCUGGCAGAUGUGGGAAGAAGGAUGAAAGUCUCUGAAAGACCACAUAAAUAUUGCUAAUAGGAAAUGGAUGUCUGAAGACCAGCUCUUCUUCCCUCCCCAAUGCAAUUAGCUGUGGCAAGAUUGGGAGCCAAGGAUUCCUCGUUAC